GUACUGAUGAAGAGUCCCAAAGAAGGACGAAACAGCUGUCCAGUAC
rfam:Trichobilharzia regenti genome assembly, scaffold: TRE_scaffold0056493